CUGUGAGGUAUGCUGGAGGUAUCAGAAGUGCGAAUGCUGACAUAAGUAACGAUAAAGCGGGUGAAAAGCCCGCUCGCCGGAAGACCAAGGGUUCCUGUCCAACGUUAAUCGGGGCAGGGUGAGUCGACCCCUAAGGCGAGGCCGAAAGGCGUAGUCGAUGGGAAACAGGUUAAUAUUCCUGUACUUGGUGUUACUGCGAAGGGGGGACGGAGAAGGCUAUGUUGGCCGGGCGACGGUUGUCCCGGUUUAAGCGUGUAGGCUGGUUUUCCAGGCAAAUCCGGAAAAUCAAGGCUGAGGCGUGAUGACGAGGCACUACGGUGCUGAAGCAACAAAUGCCCUGCUUCCAGGAAAAG
rnacentral:rRNA from 1 species